UGCUCCUGCAAAAUGGGAAGUUGGAGCUUAGCUCUUUUUCAGAAGUUAACUCAAAGAGCAGACCAGCAGAUGAUUGAAAUCAAUGGACCUAGGCUGAUUUACACAAGCUAAGGAUCUGACCAACUAUAAUAAGAGCGGCAUACAGCUGAUCUAAACUGGGGCAGCGCAUCUCUGGAAGUUGUCUUUCCAUGGAGAACUCGUUAAAGUGCUUUUUAUGGAGAUCUUCCCUCAGAAUGUCCGAUCAGGUGUGCCAAAUUCUUCUCCUCCUCUUUCAUCAUCUCUCCAGCGAGAAGGAAGAGUCCUCUUCAUGGGAAAUAGAUGUUACUUUCCCCAGCUGCUGCCUAAGCCU